ACUCCUACGGGAGGCAGCAGUGGGGAAUAUUGGACAAUGGGCGCAACCCUGACGCAGCAACGCCGCGUGGAGGAUGAAGGGCUUCGGCUCGUAAACUCCUUUCGACCGGGACGAGUAGAAGACGGUACCGGAAGAAGAAGCCCCGGCUAACUACGUGCCAGCAGCCGCGGUAAU
rnacentral:rRNA from 1 species